GGCGAACGGGUGAGUAACACGUGGGUAAUCUGCCCUCGGCACUGGGAUAGCCCGGGGAAACCCGGAUUAAUACCGGAUAGCCUUUCGAGCCUUCGGGCUCGUCAGAAAAGGUGGCUUCGGCUUCCGGCUGAGGAUGAGCCCGCGGCGGAUUAGCUUGUUGGUGAGGUAAUGGCUCACCAAGGCUCCGAUCUGUAGCUGGUCUGAGAGGACGAUCAGCCACACUGGGACUGAGACACGGCCCAGACUCCUACGGGAGGCAGCAGUAGGGAAUCUUGCGCAAUGGGCGAAAGCCUGACGCAGCGACGCCGCGUGCGGGAAGAAGGCCUUCGGGUUGUAAACCGCUUUCAGGAGGGACGAAGCCACUCGGGUUAAUAGCCCAGAGGGUGACGGUACCUCCAGAAGAAGCCCCGGCUAACUACGUGCCAGCAGCCGCGGUAAUACGUAGGGGGCAAGCGUUGUCCGGAUUUAUUGGGCGUAAAGAGCGUGUAGGCGGCCAGAUAGGUCAGCUGUGAAAACUCGAGGCUCAACCUCGAGAUGUCGGCUGAAACCAUCUGGCUAGAGUCCGGAAGAGGAGAAUGGAAUUCCCGGUGUAGCGGUGAAAUGCGCAGAUAUCGGGAAGAACACCCGUGGCGAAGGCGGUUCUCUGGGACGGUACUGACGCUGAGACGCGAAAGCGUGGGGAGCGAACAGGAUUAGAUACCCUGGUAGUCC
rnacentral:rRNA from 1 species